rnacentral:rRNA from 1 species
GAUGAACGCUGGCGGCGUGCCUAAUACAUGCAAGUCGAGCGGACGGACGAGAAGCUUGCUUCUCUGCUGUUAGCGACGGACGGGUGAGUAACACGUGGAUAACCUACUUCUAUGACUGGGAUAAUUACGGGAGACCGGAUCUACUACCGGAUCAUAUUUUGAACCGCAUGGUUCAAAAGUGCUUGACAGUUUUGCUGACUCUAUGAGAUGGUUCCGCGUUGCAUUAGCUAGUUGGUAAGGUAACGGCUUACCAAGGCUACGAUGCAUAGCUGACCUGAGAGGGUGAUCAGCCACACUGGAACUGAGACACGGUCCAGACUCCUACGGGAGGCAGCAGUAGGGAAUAUUCCGCAAAGGGCGAAAGCCUGACGGAGCAACGCCGCGUGAGUGAUGAAGGUCUUCGGAUCGUAAAGCUCUGUUAUUAGGGAAGAACAUAAGUGUGUGAAUACGUGGACGUCUUGACGGUACCUAAACAGAAAGCCACGGCUAACUUCGUG